GUUAAAUCUUAAAAAUGUAAGAGGAGACCUGCUGAACCAGGCCAAAGGCCUAUCUUGCACAAUAGCCUGUUCUCACAGUGGCCAACCAGAUGCCCAUUGGAAGCCCACAAGCAAGAACUGAAUACAGCAGCUCUCUCCCCACUUGUGACUCUUAGCAACUGGUGUUCAGAGACAGCUGUAAGAACAAGCCUGGUCUGCAAUGCUCUGUAUCUUUUCAGUUUGACUGGUUCUAUAGGAACAUAAGUACAGUAUGUUAAAACAAAGCUAUUUCUUGCCCAUCCACUCUAAAAUGGGAAUCUAAAAAUGGCUGGUAACUUGUUUCAUUUUCACCAAGGUCCAUAAAAUGUUCAGGCAUAACAGCUCCUUCAGAGUGGAUUAAGCCUACCAAAUAUUACAUAGAUACACCCAAUAGUUAUCAUGCAGGAAACCCUAAAGCUUGACUUUUAAAACAAGGUGUUUUCAUUUUCUGUCAGAAUUGGAUCCAAAUUGCAGGCAUGGUCACCUGUUCUGAGGGAAUGAAGCCUGCUAAAUUUUUGAAAAAUAGCUGCAAUGCUGGUCCUUCAAGGAUAGACUUUCCCAUUUUGGAGGGGUACAACAGGAACUCAGCUAGACUGGUAAAGAAAAAGCAAUGUAUAAGUUUUGUAUAUGCGAUAUAACAUUACGCCACCAGAUGGCGAUGUGGAGUCCCAUUCAUCCCUACCUAUUUCCCCUGUUUAAAUUUACAACACCUUUAACUGAAAUAUUUAUUUGAUGUGUCUAAAUCCAGCCUAGGAAUCAAUGUGGGUGAAGGUGGCAAUAUAUGAAAAAAGAAGAAAAGUGCAUGGCUCCUCAGGAAAGUCAGGGGUGGGGGAAAGAUCACACACACAAACCCCCAUGCAAGGAACCUGUUACCCCAACAAUUGUUGGCGGGGGUGGGCUUCUGUCCUACCCCCAUGGAUUUUUGGUGAUACAACGGAGAUCUGUCAAUAGACUUGAAUAGAGGAGGGCAUUGUACCAUCUGAAAAACAAACUCAGUUUUUAAUUCCUCGACUGUGAAAGGAUUGCCCUGGGGAGAUAAUUCACUGUGAUUAAAAGCUAGGCCUGUCUGACAAAACAAAAGAUUCUCUCCAUGUCUCCACCCCCUUCACUUCUGAGCUCUGGGCAUUUCCCCAGUCAACUUGGGCUCCCCCCCCUUUCUCACCUCUAGGAUAUAGAAUCCCCCCACCUCUUACUUUCCAUGGCUUCUUUGCUCUCUGUGGGCAUCCUGAAGAGGAGAUUAUGCCAUUGAGCACUUUGGUUAUAAUGGACUUGAAGAAUGUGCUUAGGAAAUUGAUCACAUCAUGACUGUGGUGACAGUGAAGAAGAAAUAAAGGGCUGGUGGCAUAUCUGUGGGACUUGUGUUUGUAGUGUAUCAUGUCAGCGAUGCUUUAAGAACCUCAUAUCACUGAAAGGCCUAUUAACAUUCGUUCAUUUCUUUCUUGCAUCUCUCUCCCUCUCCCCCCCCCCCCCGCCCUCUCCACACUUUUCAAGGAGCAGCACAUACUAUCCAGUACAGGCUCACACUGACUAGGUUAAACAAUUACACUACACUAAUUGGCCUGUGUCGGUCUUGAUGAGUAGGUAAACAAAUGCUGCACGGGAAAAGCUGAGACAAAUUGUAUCUAAUUAAAUUGAUGAAAAAAAGUGACAAUGACAACAAAGAAAGCAACAUUCACAGUUGCAAAUCACAAUGCUUAUGUGAAAGCACACACCUCUUAUCAAAAUCUGCAAUUCUGCCCUGGGUGCCGGAGAGAGGAAGGUUGAUGAGCCAUCCCUCCCCCACACAUUCGAGAAAUCCCUUAAUUAUAGCAUAUAAAAAGGAUUGGCUACCAUCUAUGUUCAGCCAUAUGAGCUCCUGUGUGUGUGCUCCAUGCAUAUACAAUAUGUGCAAGUGAAAAUAGUGGUGACUCGCCCACAUUGCUAAAAGGAAAAGGUUUCUCAUUUGUUCUUGCAAAUUACCUCCUUCCUCCAUUAUAUAUUUACAGAUGCUUCAGCUGUUCCAAAGAAGCAGCAAAAGAGGAAGCACAAUUGUGUUGUGCUUCCUUUCCACCUGCUUCUGAACUUCAUCAAAAUAAGAACGACGUGCACUCUUGCCACUACAACAGAAGAACAUGCACCGUCCACUUCAGACGAGUGUCUCAUAUUUAAUCUUUCUUGGAACCAUUGAAUUGGCUUUAAGCAUUAGGGCUAAGGUCAGAAUGGCUAGCUUUCAAUACACAAGGAAAAAAACCUUCUCAUUUGCCGUUGCAGUUGCCC